rnacentral:rRNA from 1 species
UAAUUGAAGAGUUUGAUCAUGGCUCAGAUUGAACGCUGGCGGCAGGCCUAACACAUGCAAGUCGAGCGGCAGCACAGAGGAACUUGUUCCUUGGGUGGCGAGCGGCGGACGGGUGAGUAAUGCCUGGGAAAUUGCCCGGUAGAGGGGGAUAACCAUUGGAAACGAUGGCUAAUACCGCAUAACCUCGCAAGAGCAAAGCAGGGGACCUUCGGGCCUUGCGCUACCGGAUAUGCCCAGGUGGGAUUAGCUAGUUGGUGAGGUAAGGGCUCACCAAGGCGACGAUCCCUAGCUGGUCUGAGAGGAUGAUCAGCCACACUGGAACUGAGACACGGUCCAGACUCCUACGGGAGGCAGCAGUGGGGAAUAUUGCACAAUGGGCGCAAGCCUGAUGCAGCCAUGCCGCGUGUAUGAAGAAGGCCUUCGGGUU